rnacentral:rRNA from 1 species
ACACUCCUGCGGGAGGCAGCAGUGAGGAAUAUUGGACAAUGGGUGGAAGCCUGAUCCAGCCAUCCCGCGUGCAGGAAGACGGCCCUAUGGGUUGUAAACUGCUUUUAUCUGGGGAUAAACCUACUUACGUGUAAGUAGCUGAAGGUACCAGAAGAAUAAGCACCGGCUAACUCCGUGCCAGCAGCCGCGGUAAUACGGAGGGUGCAAGCGUUAUCCGGAUUUAUUGGGUUUAAAGGGUCCGUAGGCGGACUGAUAAGUCAGUGGUGAAAUCCGACAGCUUAACUGUCGAACUGCCAUUGAUACUGUUAGUCUUGAGUAAGGUUGAAGUGGCUGGAAUAAGUAGUGUAGCGGUGAAAUGCAUAGAUAUUACUUAGAACACCAAUUGCGAAGGCAGGUCACUAAGUCUUAACUGACGCUGAUGGACGAAAGCGUGGGGAGCGAACAGGAUUAGAAACCCCAGUGUCCCAUG